rnacentral:rRNA from 1 species
CCUACGGGAGGCAGCAGUGAGGAAUAUUGGUCAAUGGCCGUAAGCCUGAACCAGCCAAGUCGCGUGAAGGAUGACUGCCCUAUGGGUUGUAAACUUCUUUUAUAAAGGAAUAAAGUUAUGCACGUGUGCCUUUUUGCAUGUACCCUAUGAAUAAGGAUCGGCUAACUCCGUGCCAGCAGCCGCGGUAAUACGGAGGAUCCGAGCGUUAUCCGGAUUUAUUGGGUUUAAAGGGAGCGUAGAUGGGUUGUUAAGUCAGUUGUGAAAGUUUGUGGCUCAACCGUAAAAUUGCAAUUGAGACUGGCAGUCUUGAGUACGGUUGAGGUAGGCGGAAUUCGUGGUGUAGCGGUGAAAUGCAUAGAUAUCACGAAGAACUCCGAUUGCGAAGGCAGCUUACUAAGCUGCAACUGACAUUGAUGCUCGAAAGUGUGGGGAUCAAACAGGAUUAGAUACCCUAGUAGUC